GACGAACCGUCCGAACGUUAUUCGGAAUCACUGGGCUUAAAGGGUGCGUAGGCGGCGCGGAAAGUUGGGUGUGAAAUCCCUCGGCUUAACCGAGGAACGGCGCCCAAAACUACCGUGCUCGAGGGAGAUAGAGGUGAGCGGAACUUAGGGUGGAGCGGUGAAAUGCGUUGAUAUCCUAAGGAACACCGGUGGCGAAAGCGGCUCACUGGAUCUCUUCUGACGCUGAUGCACGAAAGCUAGGGUAGCGAACGGG
rnacentral:rRNA from 2 species